GACGAACGCUGGCGGCGUGCUUAACACAUGCAAGUCGAACGAUGAACCCGGAGCUUGCUCUGGGGGAUUAGUGGCGAACGGGUGAGUAACACGUGAGUAACCUGCCCUGGACUCUGGGAUAAGCGUUGGAAACGACGUCUAAUACCGGAUAGGACCUUGGAUCGCAUGAUAUGGGGUGGAAAGUUUUUUCGGUCUGGGAUGGACUCGCGGCCUAUCAGCUUGUUGGUGAGGUAAUGGCUCACCAAGGCGUCGACGGGUAGCCGGCCUGAGAGGGUGACCGGCCACACUGGGACUGAGACACGGCGCAGACUCCUACGGGAGGCAGCAGUGGGGAAUAUUGCACAAUGGGCGAAAGCCUGAGGCAGCAACGCCGCGUGCGGGAUGACGGCCUUCGGGUUGUAAACCGCUUUUAGUAGGGAAGAAGGGCUUCGGCUUGACGGUACCUGCAGAAAAAGGACCGGCUAACUACGUG
rnacentral:rRNA from 1 species